rnacentral:rRNA from 1 species
UACGUAGGAGGCGAGCGUUGUCCGGAAUCACUGGGCUUAAAGCGCGUGUAGGCGGGAGGGCACGUCCGUUGCUGAAAUCCCCCGGCUCAACCGGGGAACGGGCGCGGAUACGACUCUCCUUGAGGGGCGUAGGGGGACCUGGAACUUCCGGUGGAGCGGUGAAAUGCGUUGAGAUCGGAAGGAACGCCCGUGGCGAAAGCGAGGUCCUGGACGCCUACUGACGCUGAGACGCGAAAGCCAGGGGAGCGAACGGG